UCUUUGGGUAAAUUACAAAAAUCAUAGUUUCGCCUGAGUCCCUCAAUUUCAACAUUGUCUAGGCCCUAUGUGGCCUAGGUUUUUUUUUGCCAGAUAGUUAGUUGUUUAAAGUUUUUGAGUUUUUUUUUUUUUUGUUGUGCUUUAGUGAAACAUUUUGUCUUUUCUUUAAUUUGAUCAAUUUUAUAUUUUCCACUGAUUUUUCUGAUGAGCGGGAACUCUAAAAAUAUCAGUUUUUUUUAUCUAAUUUUAGAAGUUCAUUAAGCCAAUUUGAAACGUUUAGGUUUGAUAAUGGUCCUAAUAAAUCCCCAUUCCAAUUUUACCCCUUAUCUUUUUACUACUCUGAAUUAUUGGACAAUACAGGUUGAAGAGGGAGAGUCUUAAUAGAGGGAAUUAGGGUGGCAUUUUGGGGUAUGGAAGCAGUUGGUGCAAACUGCCUAGGCGGCAGCACACGCUUCUUCCAUAGUGCUGGGCAAUUUCGACAACGUUGGCCGACGCGCAUUUCAAGCCUCUUGAUGGGAAAUUGAUAAGGCAAUUAGCGCAAGAGCAUGAAGGUUUUGAUCACUGUUGAAGAAGGCCUCCAUUGUGGCUUUGCUCUCUGUUUUUCCCAUUUCUUGGGAUUGAAUGGAUUGUGGAUGGAAGUCUCAAGUAAUAUGUGUUGUGCCCAAAACGAGUUACAGUCACUCCACAACAACAUCAACCAAACACACUAGAACCAAGAGAUUUACGUGGUUCGGCCAACAAUGCCUACAUCCACGAGAGUAACAAAUAUUUCACUAUCACAUAAUGAAUCUAACAAUAGUACAUAGGGAGGAAGCUCAUCUUCCCUCACCGUCCUAUCAAGCACUCUCUCAAUACGCUCACCAUCCUCCUGUCUAACUCUCAGAUCUCACACGCUACCAAUUCUAGCCCAUCUCUGUCAGAUCUCUGUGCUAACGUCUCUCGGGCUCUCAUACUAGCACACUAGCACUCCCCCAGCCCGCUGCACACAGCAUUCUGCUGUGUGCCCCCAACAAAAGCCUCCAACCCCUUACAUUUCUCUGCACCCCCUGCUCUUCCUCUGGCUACCUCGUAAUUUAUGGCCACCAAGAAGAGACAUUAGCUCACGGCUGAGCUCAACAUGCCUCCAUCUUUGACAAUCUUCACGCAGCUUCUUCUCUCACCCUUGCGACCAUUCAUUUGCUUCUCCUCUGCUUCUCUUUUCUUCUCAUCAGCCUCAAAUGGCGAGACUUUCGUCUCUGACAUAGCUUUCAUGAGGCUCUUUUGGAAGAGGAAUGAAGUAAGGAAUGGCAAGAGCUUGUGCCUUGGCUAUUGGGCUUGGGGCUUCUUUCAAUGGGCUUCAAUUUGGGCUUCCUCUAUUGGGCUUUAAUGGGCUGGACCCACCAAUCUCCCCCUCCAGCACCACUGGAGGGUACUCUGAUUUUUCAAGUUAUUCAUCACCGACCACUUCUUACUUCUGGUCCUCAAGCUCCCCCGUAAGACUACAAGACAGUAUCCGAGAUACGUUACCCUCAUCCGUGGGCAACUCCACGUAUCUACUGAAGUGAAUGCACUUCCAACCUGAAGUGCCUGCACCUUCUCAAUAGUGCUCUGCGUUUCCCCCCCACCGGGGGGGGUGCUCUAACUACAAAGUAACGUCGCUUUGCAAGUCAUCGUGACUCCAUCUCUCCUCCUUUGUGUGCACACUAGAGAGAUUACGCCACUGAUCUCGAGCGAAAGAGACUGCUCGUUUUGGCUACGUCGCGCCGUCGUUGUGGCAUCGACUCUGGCUCUCUCCUCUGAGCUUCUUCAUGAACAUCCUGCACUGGUUGCAACCUUCUCGUGUCUGGCCAGACUUUUCCGCACGUAUCCCAAAAAAAGCAUCUCCCGCUCUCCUGUUUCCACUGUGAUCCUCAGUACAUCCAUCAGGUACUCCUCGCUUUCUAUCAUGCUGCCUCCUUGCAACGAUUGCUUUCUUUGUCCAAUCCAUCUUGCUAAGACACUGACCUAUUCCGGCAACAGCUCCCUGUCUGGACAUCUCCUCAGUCGGUAUAGCCUUUCCGUCUUCCUUCUCCUGCAAGCUUCUCCUGUCCUUGGACACCUCGUGGACGUGUUCCUCUCACUACCUCAAAGCUUCAUCGCCUUCGACUCCUGCAUCUCAAUGAAACAUGCCUUAUACCCCCGGUCACCUUCCAUGGAUCUCCCGUCGCCAUCGAGAACCGACUGUCCCCUUUGUGUCUAACAAUCGCAAUCGUUAGCCAUACCGACACAAUUCCUCGCUGCUACAUUCGUGUAGAUCACAUCUCUCUGUCUCUUCACAAUGUAAGGCAAUUCCAAAUCCGAAAUCCAUCUGACUCUUCAUCUGCCGUGCAUGCUAGAGACAUCACCCUCACUCUCAUCCACAGCCAUCAUUGCUGUUGUUGCUCCCGUCUGAAGACUGAUUCAUGGUCCACUUUUGUUCCUUGGACAUUCUUCUAUUUCCCUCCGGUCGCAAUAAAAGCACUUAAUAAAAAAAACAGCGACCUCUGGAUUCUUUCUGGCCCUCCGCCUAUUCAUCUGCCGACUCUCUUCCUUGACCUCUUCUCCUGACCUCUGUGAUCUCCUUCUUGCGACCCUCUUCUCUGGCCUCUCACUCUUCUUCUGAGACCUCUUCCUGUGGCUCUCUGGAACUGCGUUCGUAACGUAAUUGUUCCGCCACUCUGUAGUCCCUCUCUGAAAGCUUCAAACACAAGCCUUCGCCAUACGAUUUUGUUCUGAGAUGUAUUCCCCGGUACAUGCUCUUCACCUUGGUCCCCAACCCAUGAGCCAUCGUCUCAUCGUGCUACAUGUUGGCACACUCGUGUCCAAUGCACUGGUGUCGUGAUCUGUACUAGUUCGUCUCAUCGUGCUACUCUGAUUGAACAACCUCGUGUCCAAUGCAUUUCUGAUAUGGCCCAAUCAUCUUCCUGUUCAUCCAUCUCAUUUCUCAUCCUUGGUUGUUCUUCCCCCGGGGCGUAAUCCGCAUCUGAAACUUGAUCAGGGCUCUCAAAUCACUCCCCGCCUUCUUGCUCCUCCAAAUGAAGCAAAAAUCUCGAAAACCCGACCUCGCGGAUAAUCGUAAAUUCCCGAGAAAACUCAGAAAGGGCUUUUCUGUCAAAAUCAUACUUCUUCUGGGAUCCAAAUGAAAUAAUCAGAACUUCCGGGACUAAUUGCAAUUUUCCCAUACUUCAGGGACCAAUCUGUAAAAAACGAUCAGGGUCAAAAGUGCAAUUUACUGUUUUUGGUUCAACGUUCCAACGCCGGUCAACGGCUGUCUAACGCGUCUUGGCUCGGUCAACGGUCAAUCGGCUCUGGUCACCCGCUCUUCGGCUCGGUUCUCGUCACGGGCCCUCAGGUUUGACUGUUCAACAGCUCAUUGACCCGGUUCAAUGGCUGUGAUAUAUUUGGCGCGUUUGAAUUUUUUUUCUAACAAAAAAUAAAAAACAAAAACCUAAUCAUUUUCCUUUUUAAAAAAAGACUUUACUUUUUCUUUUUUCUUUUUUCUCUUUUUUUCUUUUUUCUUUUCCUUUCAUGAUUAUGUUUCCCUGUUUGAAAAAUGGCAAAUGGCAGAUUCUGCGUUGGGCGGGCGCGUGGGCGCGCUUGGGGGCGCGUGGUUGUGCGCCGUGGAAGGCACUCGUCUUCUUUCCUCUGAUGCGCGCGUGGGGUGCGUGGAUCCUGACCGCGGCCCGAAUUCAGGCGGCGCGUGAGGCGCUCGUUUGAAGUCACGAUUUGGACGUCCGUUUGGGUGCUUGGACGCUUCGUCACUCGGCGAAGUACACAAACUCUAUCGGUAGGCUCAACGUCCGCCCUGUUUGAAGCACUUCGGAUUUGGUCAGGAAUUUAAACAAAAUCGGCUUCCGUUCGCUCGCCGAAUCGCUUCCGGUGACCUCUCCGGUGACUCGAGCGUGGCUCUGAUAACACAAAUUUGUUUGUGCCCAAACGAGUUACCAGUCACUCCACACCCAGAUUCCACCAACAUCACUCCACACACACUAGCAAAGCUUUACGGUGGCUGUUCGGUUCCAAUCAAGUAAUGCCUACAUCCAUCCACGGAGGAGGAACAAUAUAUUCACUAUCACAUAAUUGAAUUUACAAUUAAUACAACAUUAGGGAGGGAACACUCAUUCACUCCCUCACCUCUUCAAGCACUCUCUCAUCCUCAACCAUCUCUCUGUCGAACUCUCAGAUCUCACAGCUACCACAUUCUAGCCCACUCUCUGUCGAUCUCUGUGCUCUCGUGCUUACUCCUAGCACACUAGCACUCCCCCCAAGACCCUCUGCACAAGCAUAUCUGCUGUGGUGCCCCAACAAAAGCCCCCAACCCCUUACAUUUCUUUUCCUCUGACCGCCGGUCUUCUACUCUGGCACCUCUCUGUAUUUAUAGGCCACCAAGAGCGUAGACGAUGAGCCUCACGGCUUAGCUAACAUGCUCCAUCUUUGACACUUCAGGCAGCUUAUCCGUAAUCUUUCUCUCUCUCUGCCAUUCUUUUCGUUCCUCCUCUGCCUCCUUUCUCUUUUCUUUUUUCUAAUUUCCUUCUUACCUCAGCCUCAAUGGAGACACUUUCGUCUCUGACAUAAAUUUGAGACAAACCACUUCGCCAGCUGUUCAAUUAAGGCUGGGCUUCUAGAAGAGGAAUGAAGUAAGGAAAUGGCAAGGCUUGGGCCUUGGGCUAUUAGGCUCAUGGGCUUCUUUCAAUGGGCUUCAAUUUGGCGGGUACGGCUCUUCCUCUAAUUGGGCUUAUAAUGGGUGGACCCACAAUAUGAUCUCAUUAAUCAAUUCACUUUAUCUCUAAGUUUCUAAUUUGGAAAGGUUGUUUCAAUUAAGGAUUUUUUAUAUUGUUUUGAUUUUAUGGAAUGUUUGAGUUUUUUUGUUUAAAUGUUUUCACUUUUUCAGCUCGACUAGAAGAAUCAAAAAAUUAAAAAACUUGGACCAUAACAGUGAAAAACUUCAAUAAGGAAGAAAAAAAAUGAUUUUAAUUGUUCUUUAUGUUUAGUGAAUUUCUUUCAAAUUUAUUUUACUUUACUUCUUCAAUUAAGACAAAUUAGGAAAGUAAGAAAUUUCCAAAAUCUUAUGUUAAGUGAAUUUCUUUCAAAGAAAAUUACUAAAACCAUAAAAAAAAAUCAGAACAUUCUUUUAAAUAUAUUCAUUUUUUAGAGCAGCCGAGUUUUAGAUUAAGGUGAAAGAGAUGGGGGGGGGGGGCCAAAAUUGUUAGGGAAAAGAAAAUAAUAACUUGAGGUUUCACUCAUAUGGUCCGUGUGAAUAGCAAGAGAAUGCUCGAUAGAAAAUGGAAGAAAAAAAUUAUGUUGAUACAACUUGCGCGCAUAUGCACGAAAACUUUCCUAAAAAAACACAAGAAAAAUUAAUUUUUUUUGUGAACGCUUUUAAGAUUUUUUUUGUGUGUGAAUAUAACUAAUAUUCGUGAGUGUGUAAUUUGGGGUAGUGUGCACAGUGGGAGAGCUAUGAUUCUUCCAGAUAGGAUAUAUACGAAACCAUGGAGCUUCAGGAGCCCAAAUUGAAAGAAGGGGCCUUUGACUUCCAAGCACAUUGCAGCCUGUAUUUUUGUCACUCAUACAGAGCAAAACCAUGAGAUGAGAGAUGGAACUCCUUCUCAUCACAUCAACUACAUAUAAAAAAAAAAUGGUCUCAAUUAGGAAGUUUUGUAACAGCUUUCUUGCUCAACAAGAAUAAUCCUUGUAUUUUGUGUAGGUGAUAGGAAACUAUAUAGUCGAUCUGGAUUGAGAACAUGUCGUGUGUGUUGUAUUGUACAACUAAUUGUUUGUGAUGUUUAUAAACUUAUUUUUGGCAUCAGAUCGCGUUAACCGUGGGCAUUAAUGUCAAUUUCUCAAUAUUUGGUGAUAACUGCAAACAAAAAGUGUUCAAGUUCUUACCACCAAGCUUUCCUUUUUCGCUGCUUCUAGUUUUGGUAUAUUUGGGGAAUUUAGCAUACACCGUUUGUCUAAAAAUUUCUUUGAACUUCAGAGCAAAGUUUGUCAAAUGUGGAUGACCGUCUUUAUUGAUCAAAUCACAUUUGUCUAAAGAAAAUGCGUAGUUUGUAUUGAAAUUUAUAUUUGCUAUCCACAAAAACGAGUGUGAUAGUUGAUGUGAUAAGUGCCAACAAUUUUCGAUUACUGAUUUUGAUGUGGAGUUCAUCUAAGCUAAUAGUAUAAGAUAAGGUUUGGGAUCAGUCAGGGUUAAGUUUCAAAGGAGCUACAAUUUUAUCUAUUUUAAAUCAAACUUUAGAGAGAGCUUUGUCCAAAAGGAAAGAUUUGAACCUAAAAAAUCAGUGAAGUUCAUAAAUAUUAAAUAAAAUUGUACUUGAAAAGAAAAAAAAAACGAGCCGACCGAACCGAACCGAAACCGAACCAACCAAACCAAGAAUAUUUAAAUUAUUUCUCGUUAACAAAUAACGUACACUCCCAUAAAAAAAAAGACCAAACAGUCAUGUUUCGCGUACCUGGAGUGCACAAAGUUUUCAAAAAAUGCCCUCGUAUGGCACUCAAAAACGGAGUAAACAAAAACCCAACCCAAAUCCAUGACCCACCCAUCCGCACAAAGGACUUUGCAGGCAUAAUACGGGGCACAAUAACAACGCAUUAUCCUUUUAACCCAAAAUACCAUCGCGAAUAUGCUGGUUUGUAUUGUGCAACCACGCUAUAUGACCUGCCUAAAGAUUUUAUUAGAAGUUUAAGGGUUGCAAAAGUGUAAUUAUUGCGAAUUAUUACAACUUUGAUUAGAUGGAUGCAAGUGAAAACCAAAAUCAAGACCACAAAGCAAUGCAAUCUUUAAAAUCAUACAUUUUCGAAGAAUCGUAAACUAAAAACAACAAAAUCCCUUGAUUGGAAUCAUAAGAUGCAGUUGAGGGAGGCCAAAUUUUCCACUCGAACCAACGCAUCACUGCUCGUUCACUGUACUAGAUAACAAGUGGUCGUAGCGAGACUCCGAUGGCUAGCGUGUUGUUGGCAAUGUUUUCGUUUCAAAUUAUCACUUCGCAAAAAAAGCAAGAGCUACCUCAUGUUUGGCUUUCUGUAUGUACUUGCAGUGAUUUUACAACUUGUGGGAGAUUAGAUGAAAGUGUGACUUUUUCCACAGAACACUACCGUUAGAAUCCAUUGUGUAUGACAACAUCCAGGCCUUCUAAGGACCAGGUGAUAGAUGGUUUCACAAGAUGAUGGAAGAGGAAAACCCUUCGCUUCCAUUUUCAGAAGCGGCUUCGUCUGGGUAAUCAUCCAAAAUCUACAGUUAGCAUCUGGUGACUCUUAAAAACCGUUUUCUCUUUUUACGAGGGGGUUAUGGUUAUGAGGUCGAACUCGUGAGACACCGACGUAUAUCCAAGAAAGCACCGUGUUUGAUCAGCUUUGAAAUUCGUCGGGAUGGCAAGAGCGACUUCUUUCUAAAACACACAAAUGGGAGGUCAACCAAAAAAUAAGCAAAUAGAACAUACAAUGAUUUUUUAGAAAUUUAAUUUUCUAAACAGCAGUGAAAUCAACAACUUUCUGACCCUGUUA
rnacentral:lncRNA from 1 species